rnacentral:tRNA from 1 species
GCCCACCUAGCUCAGUUGGUAGAGCACGUCCUUGGUAAGGACGAGGUCACCGGUUCAAACCCGGUGGUGGGCU